GAAUCAGGUACCUUCAACAUUAUGUGACUGCAGAGUGUGCUCUGAGGCAGCUGAAACAAUAUUUGAAGGAAGAAUGUGAAAACAUUUUGGGCCACUGGGUAUCAGGCAGCAGGGUUGCUGUGCUAAUGAAAAUUUGGAACACCAUUGCAAACUGAAGUGUUUGACAGCAGCAGGAAUUUUUCUGUGCUGUUUAUGAGGUAUAUAAAAAGUUGCAGAUGGCUUCAAAUCACUAUCACCUUUUUGCAGCUGGACCUAUCACAUAUGCAGCUGAUCGUUGUAGGUCCUUUCCUACUGAAGUAUUCUAUCUUCUGUCUCCAUGGAGGAAAACUGAUGAAAAAGGGAAAACCUUUGAAAAACUCUUCAGUUCCAGCUCUAUUUCUAUUGUCUAUCAACAUAUUGCAAGCAGGAAAAAAAUGAAACAUCAGGAGCUAAAAC
rnacentral:lncRNA from 1 species